rnacentral:rRNA from 1 species
UACGUAGGGUGCGAGCGUUGUCCGGAAUUAUUGGGCGUAAAGAGCUCGUAGGCGGUGUGUCGCGUCGGCCGUGAAAACCUGCAGCUCAACUCCGAGCUUGCAGUCGAUACGGGCAGGCUAGAGUUCGGCAGGGGAGACUGGAAUUCCUGGUGUAGCGGUGAAAUGCGCAGAUAUCAGGAGGAACACCGGUGGCGAAGGCGGGUCUCUGGGCCGAUACUGACGCUGAGGAGCGAAAGCGUGGGGAGCGAACAGG